CAGGCCUAACACAUGCAAGUCGAGCGGAGAUGAGGUGCUUGCACCUUAUCUUAGCGGCGGACGGGUGAGUAAUGCUUAGGAAUCUGCCUAUUAGUGGGGGACAACAUUCCGAAAGGAAUGCUAAUACCGCAUACGUCCUACGGGAGAAAGCAGGGGAUCUUCGGACCUUGCGCUAAUAGACGAGCCUAAGUCGGAUUAGCUAGUUGGUGGGGUAAAGGCCUACCAAGGCGACGAUCUGUAGCGGGUCUGAGAGGAUGAUCCGCCACACUGGGACUGAGACACGGCCCAGACUCCUACGGGAGGCAGCUGUGGGGAAUAUUGGACAAUGGGGGGAACCCUGAUCCAGCCAUGCCGCGUGUGUGAAGAAGGCCUUAUGGUUGUAAAGCACUUUAAGCGAGGAGGAGGCUACUGAGACUAAUACUCUUGGAUAGUGGACGUUACUCGCAGAAUAAGCACCGGCUAACUCUGUGCCAGCAGCCGCGGUAAUACAGAGGGUGCGAGCGUUAAUCGGAUUUACUGGGCGUAAAGCGUGCGUAGGCGGCUUUUUAAGUCGGAUGUGAAAUCCCCGAGCUUAACUUGGGAAUUGCAUUCGAUACUGGGAAGCUAGAGUAUGGGAGAGGAUGGUAGAAUUCCAGGUGUAGCGGUGAAA
rnacentral:rRNA from 1 species